UACAGAGGGUGCGAGCGUUAAUCGGAAUGACUGGGCGUAAAGGGUGCGUAGGUGGUGAGACAAGAUGAAUGUGAAAUCCCUGGGCUUAACCUAGGAAUGGCAUUGAUGACUGUUUCGCUAGAGUAUUGUAGAGGGUAGUGGAAUUUCCGGUGUAGCGGUGAAAUGCGUAGAGAUCGGAAGGAACAUCAGUGGCGAAGGCGGCUACCUGGACAAAAUACUGACACUGAGGCACGAGAGCGUGGGGAGCAAACAGG
rnacentral:rRNA from 1 species